AGUGAACGCUGGCGGCAGGCCUAACACAUGCAAGUCGAGCGGCAGCGGGUCCCCGCGAGGGGAUGCCGGCGAGCGGCGGACGGGUGAGGAACACAUCGGAAUCUGCCUGGUUGUGGGGGAUAACGUAGGGAACUUACGCUAAUACCGCAUGAGACCCUGAGUCGACGGACUGGGGGUGAAAGUGAGGGACCUUCGGGCCGUCACGCGACCAGAUGAGCCGAUGUCGGAUUAGCUAGUUGGCGGGGUAACGGCCCGCCAAGGCGACGAUCCGUAGCUGGUCUGAGAGGAUGAUCAGCCACACUGGGACUGAGACACGGCCCAGACUCCUACGGGAGGCAGCAGUGGGGAAUCUUGGACAAUGGGCG
rnacentral:rRNA from 1 species